rnacentral:rRNA from 1 species
CCCGGCGGCCCUGGAGGGGAGGAAACACCCGUUCCCAUCCCGAACACGGAAGUGAAGGGCCCCAUCGCCGAGGGUACUGCGCGGUUCGCGCGCGGGAGAGUAGGGCGCCGCCGGGG